GUCUGUAAGCUCAUCUUCCUUCAACUAUCUGCCCUCCCUCCUCUUUCCUCAUUUCCCUGACGGUUUACCUGGUGGAAUUAAGAUACACACUGUGUCAGCAGGCAACCUUGUCAACUAUGCUCCUGCCAAACUGAUUUCCCUGGGAACCCUGCAAGCAGGAGAACACAAAGGGAACUCACACUGCUCCACAGCACUCAGGUUGUCUGUGAAACCCUUCCUGCCAUGCCUUGGUGAUACCCUCCUUCCCUACUCUGGAUCCACGACACCCAUGGAGAAGUUUCUGUGGUGCACGGCCUGAUGUGAUAUGCUUCAGUAACCCACCAACAAACUAAGCAACAAAGGCCUUGAGGCACUGGUAGAGGAAGCUGUCUGGAAGCAUGGUGUGAAAAGCCUGGAUAUUGAAACCAGAGGACUGGGCUGCAGGCCCAUGCCCUGUGGGACUCUUGGCAAGCUUCUUCACCUUGCUGCCCUGGGCCUGUCUCCAUCACCUGUUCUUAUUCUUCCAUGUGAAAGAGCCAGAAACCAAUGUUAUACCACAAAGCAAAUAAAUCAGUCCCAAGCCCUGAGGACUUCUGAAGAGUGCUGUGGAUAUUGUUCUGUAUAAAUAAAACACUGAAUGGCCAGUGGCCAGGCAGGAAGUAUAAGCGGGACAAGGAGAGAGGAGAAUUCUGGGAAGUGGAAGGCUGAGUGGGAGAGACACUGCCAGGCGCCGCCAUGACAAGCAGCAUGUGAAGAUGCCGGAUGGAGGCCAAAAGAAGCAGCUACCACCACAGCGGGACCAGAAGAAAGUUCAGGUCCUGGUCUGCUACUAGCUUGCCAACCAUGGCCAAGUUCUGGCCCUUCAGAGGUUUGUUUUCUCAUCUGUCAUCAAUUUCUAACUUAUUGGGCAUGAUGUUA